GACUCGGUAGCGGAUGGUCCGCGUCCGCUUAACCUCCGGUUGGAGACCAUACAUGUGGAAGCCGUCUGUUCGAAUCAGGCCCGAGUCC